rnacentral:rRNA from 1 species
ACUCCUACGGGAGGCAGCAGUGGGGAAUUUUGGACAAUGGGCGCAAGCCUGAUCCAGCCAUGCCGCGUGUCUGAAGAAGGCCUUCGGGUUGUAAAGGACUUUUGUCAGGGAAGAAAAGGCUGUUGCUAAUACCGACAGCUGAUGACGGUACCUGAAGAAUAAGCACCGGCUAACUACGUGCCAGCAGCCGCGGUAAUACGUAGGGUGCGAGCGUUAAUCGGAAUUACUGGGCGUAAAGCGAGCGCAGACGGUUACUUAAGCAGGAUGUGAAAUCCCCGGGCUCAACCUGGGAACUGCGUUCUGAACUGGGUGACUAGAGUGUGUCAGAGGGAGGUAGAAUUCCACGUGUAGCAGUGAAAUGCGUAGAGAUGUGGAGGAAUACCGAUGGCGAAGGCAGCCUCCUGGGAUAACACUGACGUUCAUGCUCGAAAGCGUGGGUAGCAAACAGGAUUAGAUACCCUGGUAGUCCACGCCCUAAACGAUGUCAAUUAGCUGUUGGGCAACUUGAUUGCUUAGUAGCGUAGCUAACGCGUGAAAUUGACCGCCUGGGGAGUACGGUCGCAAGAUUAAAACUCAAAGGAAUUGACGGGGACCCGCACAAGCGGUGGAUGAUGUGGAUUAAUUCGAUGCAACGCGAAGAACCUUACCUGGUCUUGACAUGUACGGAAUCCUCCAGAGACGGAGGAGUGCCUUCGGGAGCCGUAACACAGGUGCUGCAUGGCUGUCGUCAGCUCGUGUCGUGAGAUGUUGGGUUAAGUCCCGCAACGAGCGCAACCCUUGUCAUUAGUUGCCAUCAUUAAGUUGGGCACUCUAAUGAGACUGCCGGUGACAAGCCGGAGGAAGGUGGGGAUGACGUCAAGUCCUCAUGGCCCUUAUGACCAGGGCUUCACACGUCAUACAAUGGUCGGUACAGAGGGUAGCCAAGCCGCGAGGUGGAGCCAAUCUCACAAAACCGAUCGUAGUCCGGAUUGCACUCUGCAACUCGAGUGCAUGAAGUCGGAAUCGCUAGUAAUCGCAGGUCAGCAUACUGCGGUGAAUACGUUCCCGGGUCUUGCACACACCGCCCGUCA